rnacentral:rRNA from 1 species
UGAACGCUGGCGGCGUGCCUACUACAUGCACGUCGAGCGAACAGACGAGGAGCUUGCUCCUCUGACGUUAGCGGCGGACGGGUGAGUAACACGUGGAUAACCUACCUAUAAGACUGGGAUAACUUCGGGAAACCGGAGCUAAUACCGGAUAAUAUAUUGAACCGCAUGGUUCAAUAGUGAAAGACGGUUUUGCUGUCACUUAUAGAUGGAUCCGCGCCGCAUUAGCUAGUUGGUAAGGUAACGGCUUACCAAGGCAACGAUGCGUAGCCGACCUGAGAGGGUGAUCGGCCACACUGGAACUGAGACACGGUCCAGACUCCUAAGGGAGGCAGCAGUAGGGAAUCUUCCGCAAUGGGCGAAAGCUUGACGGAGCAACGCCGCGUGAGUGAUGAAGGUCUUCGGAUCGUAAAACUCUGUUAUUAGGGAAGAACAAAUGUGUAAGUAACUAUGCACGUCUUGACGGUACCUAAUCAGAAAGCCACGGCUAACUACGUG